ensembl:lncRNA
CCCCCCCCAGAUGUCACCUCACCCCCCCCAGGUGGCACCUAUGGGGCUGUCAGCCCCCCAAAUGUCACCUCACCCCCCCCAGGUGGCACCUAUAGGGCUGUCAGCCCCCCCAGAGGUCUCCUAUGGGGUUGUCACCCCCUAAGUGUCACCUAUAGGGCUGUCUCCCCCCCCCCAAGUGUCACCUAUGGGGAUGUCCCCCCCAGAUGUCACCUCACCCCCCCAGGUGGCACCUAUAGGGCUGUCACCGCCCCCCAGAUGUCACUUAUGGGGUUUGUCACCCCCCAAGUGGCAUCUAUGGGGAUGUCACCCCCCCAAGUGUCCCCUAUGGGGCUGUCACCCCCCUGAUGUCACCUCAGCCCCCUCAGACGUCACCUAUAGGGCUGUUACCCCCCCAGGUGUCCCCUAUGGGGCACUGUCACCCCCCAGGUGUCCCCUAUGGGGUUUGUCCCUCCCUCCCCCCCCCCCCCCGCCUGUCGCGACACGCCCCGCCCCUCCUGUCGCGACUCGGCCACCUGUCACCAGCGCCACCACCCCGCCGAGCCGCCCCGCUGAGCCCAUG